ensembl:snoRNA
GGUGACACUUACUGACGCCGUGUGACCGCUGUGCUGGAGAAAAGAAGCCCAGAGUGACAGAUUUUUUUAAUGGUUGUUGUUCUGUUUAGAGUAGUUGAUCUGCAGCAUUUUGGGAAAAGACGGUC